AGCUUUGCAGAGUGGAGUAUUGUAGACAGUGAGGUGUAUCUGAGACGUGAUUAAACUAAUUGAAAACUUCCCCAAACAGGAAUAGUUAUCUUAACCACUUGAAGAGUUUCAGAAUUUCCUCAGGAGGA
ensembl:snRNA U4 U4 spliceosomal RNA